rnacentral:rRNA from 1 species
GGCACGCCUUAUACAUGCAAGUCGAACGAAGUAGCAAUACUUAGUGGCAGACGGGUGAGUAACAUGUAGGUAUCUUCCCUUUGGUGAGGAAUAACACGAGGAAACUUGUGCUAAUACCUCAUAAGUCUUUACGGAGAAAGCUUUAUGCGCCAAAGGAUGAGCCUGCACUUGAUUAGUUUGUUGGUGGGGUAAUGGCCUACCAAGACUUUGAUCUAUAGCUGAUCUGAGAGGAUGAUCAGCCACAUUGGGACUGAGACACGGCCCAAACUCCUACGGGAGGCAGCAGUAGGGAAUAUUGCACAAUGGAGGAAACUCUGAUGCAGCGAUGCCGCGUGAGUGAAGAAGGCCUUUGGGUUGUAAAGCUCUUUCGUCGGGGAAGAAAAUGACUGUACCCGAAUAAGAAGGUCCGG